UACGUAGGGUGCAAGCGUUAGUCCGGAAUUAUCGGUGCGUAAAGAGCUCGUAGGCGGUUUGUCGCGUCGGCUGUGAAAGCCCCGGGCUCAACCUGGGAAUUGCAUUCGAGACUGAAUAGCUAGGGUACGGUAGAGGGAAGUGGAAUUUCCGGUGUAGCGGUGGAUGCGCAGAUAUCAGGAGGAACACCGGUGGCGAAGGCGGGUCUCUGGGCCGAUGACUGACGCUGGGGGAGCGAAAAGCGUGGGGGAGCGAACGAGGAUUGAGAUACCCCGG
rnacentral:rRNA from 1 species